rnacentral:rRNA from 1 species
CAGUCGCCGCGGUAAUACGAAGGGUGCAAGCGUUAAUCGGAAUUACUGGGCGUAAAGCGUGCGUAGGCGGUGAGUUAAGUCUGCUGUGAAAUCCCCGGGCUCAACCUGGGAAUGGCAGUGGAUACUGGCUCGCUAGAGUGUGUCAGAGGAUGGUGGAAUUCCCGGUGUAGCGGUGAAAUGCGUAGAGAUCGGGAGGAACAUCAGUGGCGAAGGCGGCCAUCUGGGACAACACUGACGCUGAGGCACGAAAGCGUGGGGAGUAAACAGGAUUAGAUACCCCAGUAGUCCCUGUCUCUUAUAC